UACGUAGGGACCGAGCGUUGUCCGGAUUUAUUGGGCGUAAAGAGCUCGUAGGCGGCUGGUCAAGUCGAAUGUGAAAACUCGGAGCUCAACUCCGAGCCUGCGUUCGAUACUGGACGGCUAGAGUCUGGUAGGGGGAUCUGGAAUUCCUGGUGUAGCGGUGGAAUGCGCAGAUAUCAGGAGGAACACCGGUGGCGAAGGCGGGAUCCUGGGCCAGUACUGACGCUGAGGAGCGAAAGCGUGGGGAGCGAACAGG
rnacentral:rRNA from 1 species